rnacentral:rRNA from 1 species
CGGACGGGUGGAGUAAUGUCUGGGAAACUGCCUGAUGGAGGGGGGUAACUACUGGAAACGGUAGCUAAUACCGCAUAACGUCGCAAGACCAAAGAGGGGGACCUUAGGGCCUCUUGCCAUCGGAUGUGCCCAGAUGGGAUUAGCUUGUUGGUGGGGUAACGGCUCACCAAGGCGACGAUCCCUAGCUGGUCUGAGAGGAUGACCAGCCACGCUGGAACUGAGACACGGUCCAG